AGAGUUUGAUCCUGGCUCAGAGCGAACGCUGGCGGCAGGCUUAACACAUGCAAGUCGAGCGGGCGUAGCAAUACGUCAGCGGCAGACGGGUGAGUAACGCGUGGGAACGUACCUUUUGGUUCGGAACAACACAGGGAAACUUGUGCUAAUACCGGAUAAGCCCUUACGGGGAAAGAUUUAUCGCCGAAAGAUCGGCCCGCGUCUGAUUAGCUAGUUGGUGAGGUAACGGCUCACCAAGGCGACGAUCAGUAGCUGGUCUGAGAGGAUGAUCAGCCACAUUGGGACUGAGACACGGCCCAAACUCCUACGGGAGGCAGCAGUGGGGAAUAUUGGACAAUGGGCGCAAGCCUGAUCCAGCCAUGCCGCGUGAGUGAUGAAGGCCCUAGGGUUGUAAAGCUCUUUUGUGCGGGAAGAUAAUGACGGUACCGCAAGAAUAAGCCCCGGCUAACUUCGUGCCAGCAGCCGCGGUAAUACGAAGGGGGCUAGCGUUGCUCGGAAUCACUGGGCGUAAAGGGUGCGUAGGCGGGUCUUUAAGUCAGGGGUGAAAUCCUGGAGCUCAACUCCAGAACUGCCUUUGAUACUGAAGAUCUUGAGUUCGGGAGAGGUGAGUGGAACUGCGAGUGUAGAGGUGAAAUUCGUAGAUAUUCGCAAGAACACCAGUGGCGAAGGCGGCUCACUGGCCCGAUACUGACGCUGAGGCACGAAAGCGUGGGGAGCAAACAGGAUUAGAUACCCUGG
rnacentral:rRNA from 1 species